rnacentral:rRNA from 1 species
UAACGCGUGAGGAACCUGCCUUUCAGAGGGGACAACAGUUGGAAACGACUGCUAAUACCGCAUAACACAUAGGUGUCGCAUGGCAUUUAUGGGGUCAAAGAUUUAUCGCUGAAAGAUGGCCUCGCGUCUGAUUAGCUAGUUGGUAGGGUAACGGCCUACCAAGGCGACGAUCAGUAGCCGGACUGAGAGGUUGGCCGGCCACAUUGGGACUGAGAUACGGCCCAGACUCCUACGGGAGGCAGCAG